GAUGAACGCUGGCGGCGUGCCUAAUACAUGCCAGUCGAGCGAACAGACGAUGAGCUUGCUCCUCUGACGUUAGCGGCGGACGGGUGAGUAACACGUGGAUAACCUACCUAUAAGACUGGGAUAACUUCGGGAAACCGGAGCUAAUACCGGAUAAUAUAUUGAACCGCAUGGUUCAAUAGUGAAAGACGGUUUUGCUGUCACUUAUAGAUGGAUCCGCGCCGCAUUAGCUAGUUGGUAAGGUAACGGCUUACCAAGGCAACGAUGCGUAGCCGACCUGAGAGGGUGAUCGGCCACACUGGAACUGAGACACGGUCCAGACUCCUACGGGAGGCAGCAGUAGGGAAUCUUCCGCAAUGGGCGAAAGCCUGACGGAGCAACGCCGCGUGAGUGAUGAAGGUCUUCGGAUCGUAAAACUCUGUUAUUAGGGAAGAACAAAUGUGUAAGUAACUAUGCACGUCUUGACGGUACCUAAUCAGAAAGCCACGGCUAACUACGUG
rnacentral:rRNA from 1 species